rnacentral:rRNA from 1 species
AGUGAACGCUGGCGGUAGGCCUAACACAUGCAAGUCGAACGGCAGCACAGUAAGAGCUUGCUCUUACGGGUGGCGAGUGGCGGACGGGUGAGGAAUACAUCGGAAUCUACUUUUUCGUGGGGGAUAACGUAGGGAAACUUACGCUAAUACCGCAUACGACCUACGGGUGAAAGCAGGGGAUCUUCGGACCUUGCGCGAUUGAAUGAGCCGAUGUCGGAUUAGCUAGUUGGCGGGGUAAAGGCCCACCAAGGCGACGAUCCGUAGCUGGUCUGAGAGGAUGAUCAGCCACACUGGAACUGAGACACGGUCCAGACUCCUACGGGAGGCAGCAGUGGGGAAUAUUGGACAAUGGGCGCAAGCCUGAUCCAGCCAUACCGCGUGGGUGAAGAAGGCCUUCGGGUUGUAAAGCCCUUUUGUUGGGAAAGAAAAGCAGCAGGUUAAUACCCCGCUGUUCUGACGGGACCCAAAGAAUAAGCACUGGCUAACUUCGU